GAUUAACGCUGGCGGCGUGCCUAACACAUGCAAGUCGAGCGGCAGCGAGUUUUACACUGAAUUCUGGAAGCUUCUAGUUGAAAGAGAAGAUUAAUUCAAGAAUUUUGUGUAAAAUGUCGGCGAGCGGCGGACGGCUGAGUAACGCGUGGGAACGUACCCCAAAGUGAGGGAUAACGCAUCGAAAGGUGUGCUAAUACCGCAUAUGGUCUUCGGAUUAAAGCCUUCGGGCGCUUUGGGAACGGCCUGCGUAAGAUUAGAUAGUUGGUGGGGUAAUGGCCUACCAAGUCGACGAUCUUUAACUGGUUUGAGAGGAUGAUCAGUCAGACUGGAACUGAGACACGGUCCAGACUCCUACGGGAGGCAGCAGUGAGGAAUCUUCCACAAUGGGCGAAAGCCUGAUGGAGCAACGCCGCGUGCAGGAUGAAGGCCUUCGGGUUGUAAACUGCUUUUAUAAGUGAGGAUUAUGACAGUAACUUAUGAAUAAGGAUCGGCUAACUACGUG
rnacentral:rRNA from 1 species